rnacentral:rRNA from 1 species
GACAGAGGGUGCAAACGUUGUCCGGAUUUACUGGGCGUAAAGGGCGUGCAGGCGGUUUGUUAAGUGCAGGGUGAAAGCUCCCGGCUCAACUGGGAGAGGUCCUUGCAUACUGGCGAACUCGAGGGAGGCAGAGGAAAGUGGAAUUCCCGGUGUAGUGGUGAUAUGCGUAGAUAUCGGGAGGAACACCUGUGGCGAAGGCGGCUUUCUGGGCCUUACCUGACGCUGAGACGCGAAAGCGUGGGGAGCGAACCGG